rnacentral:tRNA from 1 species
GCCUGGGUGGCUCAGUCAGUUAAGCAUCUGACUUCGGCUCAGGUGAUGAUCUCCCGGCUUGUGAGUUCAAGCCCCACAUCGGGCU